GCAAGUCGAACGGUAACAGCAGAGCUUGCUCUGGCUGACGAGUGGCGGACGGGUGCGUAACGCGUGGGAAUCUACCUUUUAGUGGGGGAUAGCCCGGAGAAAUCCGGAUUAAUACCGCAUAAGACCUACGGGGGAAAAGGAGCCUCUUCCUGAAAGCUCUUGCUAUUAGAUGAGCCCGCGUAAGAUUAGCUAGUUGGUGGGGUAAAGGCCUACCAAGGCGACGAUCUUUAGCUGGUCUGAGAGGAUGAUC
rnacentral:rRNA from 1 species